CAAGGGAUUAUGUGAAAUGCAAGCUAUAUUUAUAGAUGAACCGAUGACGUACAUCAUGUAAUAAUGCUCAGUAACUGACUGCCACCAUGUCGUAUGAACGUCCAAGCCCUACCGACUUCGACGUUCAAACAUCAGUCGUAGAAAAAGUAAUAUAUGUCGUUUGAUUAAUAACAAAUUGACAUCCUGCCCCCCAGAAAUUAUGUACUUUUCAAUUGCCAGGUGAGAUUUGGAGGGAUCGAAGUUAAAAAGUUUGAUGUGGCCCUCUAUAUUUAUAUAACUCCACUUUCAAUUUGGCUUAGUAACUCGACCAUCUUGUAAGAACGUCGAAGCCCAG
rnacentral:lncRNA from 1 species